AUGCCGAAGGUGGUCUCGCGCUCGGUGGUGUGCUCCGAUACCCGAGACCGAGAAGAGUAUGACGACGGCGAGAAACCUCUCCACGUCUACCACUGUCUGUGCGGGCAGAUGGUGCUGGUCCUAGACUGCCGGUUAGAGAAAUUACCCAUGAGACCCCGGGACCGAGCCCGGGUGAUUGAUGCAGCCAAACACGCUCACAAGGUGUGUAACACGGAAGAAGAGGAGAGUGUCCAUCUCCGGAGGUCCGAAGGAAUAGAACGGCAAUUCCGGAAGAAGUGUGCAAAGUGCGGCUUGCGGCUCUUCUACCAGCACCAGCAGAAAAAUGCUCCCGUGACCUUCAUCGUGGAGGGAGCCGUUGUCAAGUUGGGACGAGGAGGCUCUGGGAAGACCCGCCUAUACGGCCAGAAACAAGAGCCUCCUAGAAAGGUAAUGAUGACCAAGCGUACCAAGGACAUGGGCAAAUUCAGUUCCGUCACUGUCUCCACCAUUGAGGAGGAGGAGGAGGAGACUGAGGCUCGGGAAAUUGCGGAUUCCUACGCGCAGAACGCCAAAGUGAUUGAGAAACAGCUGGAGCGGAAAGGCAGGAGCAAGAGACGGCUUCGGGAGCUGGCCGAGCUGGAGGCGAAGAAAGCCAAGAAGAGAGGGACCUUGAUUGACAACCAAUUCAAAUGAUGGCAGGCCUCGCUUGGGGCCAGUCACAAACAUCCUGGAUGCGGUCCCCAUCUUGACCCUCAAAAAAAAAAUGGAUCCUGGGCUCUAAAAUUUAGAGUUCUGUCUGUCUGUAGGUAAUCUUAACGAUACUAAUCCCAUCCUAGAGAAGAACUUGUAACAUCUUCUUCUGCUUGUUUUGCUAGACUUUGUUGUUGUUGUUGUUGUUGUUGUUGUUGUUGUUCAGCGGGUGUUUUGCUUACAUUUCUCUUCUGGUAUUAUGGGAACGGAGAACAAUAUCUGAAUUUUUUUUUCUUUGAACAUAAUCAUUUUUUUUUUCUUCUUUUGAACUUAAUUCAAAAUAAAAGU